rnacentral:rRNA from 1 species
GACGAACGCUGGCGGCGUGCUUAACACAUGCAAGUCGAGCGGUAAGGCCCUUUUGGGGGUACACGAGCGGCGAACGGGUGAGUAACACGUGGGUGACCUGCCUUCAGCUCUGGGAUAAGCUUGGGAAACUGGGUCUAAUACCGGAUAUGACUGUCUGCCGCAUGGUGGGUGGUGGAAAGUUCUCGGGCUUUGGUCUGGGUUCGGCUGGGGAUGGGCCUGCGGCCUAUCAGCUUGUUGGUGGGGUGAUGGCCUACCAAGGCGACGACGGGUAGCCGGCCUGAGAGGGCGACCGGCCACACUGGGACUGAGACACGGCCCAGACUCCUACGGGAGGCAGCAGUGGGGAAUAUUGCGCAAUGGGCGGAAGCCUGACGCAGCGACGCCGCGUGGGGGAUGACGGCCUUCGGGUUGUAAACCUCUUUCGCCAUCGACGAAGGUUCUGUGGUUGUGAGGCUGCAGGGUUGACGGUAGGUGGAGAAGAAGCACCGGCCAACUACGUGCCAGCAGCCGCGGUAAUACGUAGGGUGCGAGCGUUGUCCGGAAUUAUUGGGCGUAAAGAGCUCGUAGGCGGUGUGUCGCGUCGGCCGUGAAAACCUGCAGCUUAACUGUGGGCGUGCGGUCGAUACGGGCAUCACUGGAGUUCGGCAGGGGAGACUGGAAUUCCUGGUGUAGCGGUGAAAUGCGCAGAUAUCAGGAGGAACACCGGUGGCGAAGGCGGGUCUCUGGGCCGAUACUGACGCUGAGGAGCGAAAGCGUGGGGAGCGAACAGGAUUAGAUACCCUGGUAGUCCACGCCGUAAACGGUGGGCGCUAGGUGUGGGGGCCAUUCCACGGUCUCUGUGCCGCAGCUAACGCAUUAAGCGCCCCGCCUGGGGAGUACGGCCGCAAGGCUAAAACUCAAAGAAUUGACGGGGGCCCCCCA